AGAGUUUGAUCAUGGCUCAGGAUAAACGCUAGCGGCAGGCCUAACACAUGCAAGUCGAGGGGCAGCGGGUGGAGUAUUUCGGUACUCCUGCCGGCGACCGGCGCACGGGUGCGUAACGCGUAUGCAACCUACCUUUAACAGGGGGAUAAUCCGAAGAAAUUUGGUCUAAUACCCCAUAAUAUCAUUUAAGGCAUCUUAGAUGGUUGAAAAUUCCGAUGGUUAGAGAUGGGCAUGCGUUGUAUUAGCUAGUUGGUGAGGUAACGGCUCACCAAGGCUACGAUACAUAGGGGGACUGAGAGGUUUUCCCCCANACUGGUACCUGAGACACGGACCAGACUCCUACGGGAGCA
rnacentral:rRNA from 1 species